GGCGCUAUAGCCAAGUGGUUACGGCGACAGAUUAGAACAUGAAGGGAGUUCAUCUGUUACUCUUUGAGUGCGCAGGUUCGAAUCCUGCUGGCGUCG